UAUGUUGUGGAAGAGAGUGAUGAGGAUUUGGAGGACAAUGAGGGGGAGCCUCAACCACAUGGAACUGCUAAAGAGGAGGAAGAAAGCGAGAUAGUUGAAUCUGAUCUCGAGUUUGAAGGUGAAACUGUGGAACCUGACAAUGAUCCACCACAGAAGAUGGGAGACCCUUCUGUUGAGGUCAUAGAAGAAAACUGGGAUGCUGCCUAGGACACGAAGGCAAAGGCCAUGGAAGCAAUUUCUGAAGGUAAGCCCGAGGAAGCAAUUGAGCAUCUCACAUAGGUGAUUUUGCUCAACCUAACCUUAGCAAUUAUGUAUGCAACCAGAGGUA